rnacentral:lncRNA from 1 species
GAAGCUAAGAAUGUCAACAUUUACACUGACUCUCAAUAUGCCUUUUCAACCCUUCAGGUGCGUGGAGCAUUAUAUAAAGAAAAGAGCCUAUUGAACUCUGGGGGAAAAGACAUAAAAUAUCUACAAGAAAUCUUGUAAUUAUUAAAAGCCGUAUGGAGACCCCGCAAGGUGGCAGUUAUGCAUUGCAGAGGACACCAGCGAGCUUCCACCUUGGUGGGUUUAGGGAAUUCCCGCGCUGACUUAGAGGCUCGAAAAGCAACAUCUGCCCCCUUCCGGGCAUCAGUCACAGCCCCCAUGCUCCCUCAAGCACCUGAUCUUGUACCUACUUAUUCUAAAGAAGAAAAGGACUUUCUCCAGGCAGAGAGAGGACAAGUGAUGGAGGAAGGAUGAAUUCGGUAACCGGAUGGGAGAGUAGCUGUGCCACAGCUGCUAAGAGCUGCAGUUGUACUGGCUGUUCAUGAAACCACCCAUCUAGGUCAGGAAUCACUUGAAAAGUUGUUAGGCUGGUAUUUCUACAUCUCGCAUUUGUCAGCUCUUGCCAAAACGGUGACGCAGUGGUGUGUUACCUGCCGACAGCAUAAAGCGAGGCAAGGUCCAGCCGUUCCGCCCGGCAUACAAGCUUAUGGAGCAGCCCCCUUUGAAGAUCUCCAGGUGGACUUCACAGAGAUGUCAAAGUGUAGAGGUGAUCGAGUGUGGAUCAAGAACUGGAACGUAGCCUCUUUGUGUCCACUGUGGAAAGGACCCCAGACUGUCGUUCUGAGCACUCCCACCGCUGUGAAGGUAGAAGGAAUCCCAGCCUGGAUCCACCACAGCCAUGUAAAACCUGCAGCGCCUGAAACCUGGGAGGCAAGACCAAGCCCAGACAACCCCUGCAGAGUGACCCUGAAGAAGACGACAAGCCCUGCUCCAGUCACACCCGGAAGCUGACUGGUCCACGCACGGCCGAAGCCUGAGGAAGCUCAUCAUGAGAUUCAUUUUUCUUAAAUUUUGGACUUAUACAGUAAGGGCUUCAACUGAUCUUACUCAAACUGGGGACUGUUCCCAGUGUACUCAUCAGGUCACCGAAGUAGGACAGCAAAUUAAAACAAUCUUUCUGUUCUAUAGUUAUUAUGAAUGUAUGGAAACAAUAAAAGAAACUUGUUUGU